rnacentral:rRNA from 1 species
CCCUUAGAUGUUCUGGGCUGCACGCGCGCUACACUGAAGCGUUCAACGAGUAUUUCACCUUGCCCGGGAGGGUUGGGUAAUCUUUUUAAAACGCUUCGUGAUGGGGAUAGAUUAUUGCAAUUAUUAAUCUUCAACGAGGAAUUCCUAGUAAGUGCAAGUCAUAAGCUUGCGCUGACUACGUCCCUGCCCUUUGUACACACCGCCCGUCGCUACUACCGAUUGAAUGAUUUAGUGAGGACUUCGGACUGGGACCGAUGCGGCUUUCGGGCUGCGUCGGUAUUCUGGAAAGAUGUCCAAACUGUAUCAUUUAGAGGAAGUAAAAGUCGUAACA